rnacentral:rRNA from 1 species
CGUGAGGGAAAGGCGAAAAGAACCCCGGCGAGGGGAGUGAAAAAGAACCUGAAACCGUGUACGUACAAGCAGUGGGAGCCCCACCACUAAGCCAGUGGUGAACUCCACAUACGCAUCCUUUGCUGAAGGUGCGGUUAACGGAGCGCAAGCGACGUUCAACCUCAAAAGAAGCAGAGGGGGCUUAGUGGUGGGGUGACUGCGUACCUUUUGUAUAAUGGGUCAGCGACUUAUAUUCUGUAGCAAGGUUAACCGCAUAGGGGAGCCGGAGGGAAACCGAGUCUUAAUUGGGCGUUAAGUUGCAGGGUAUAGACCCGAAACCCGGUGAUCUAGCCAUGGGCAGGUUGAAGGUUGGGUAACACUAACUGGAGGACCGAACCGACUAAUGUUGAAAAAUUAGCGGAUGACCUGUGGCUGGGGGUGAAAGGCCAAUCAAACCGGGAGAUAGCUGGUUCUCCCCGAAAGCUAUUUAGGUAGCGCCUCGUGAAUUCAUCUCCGGGGGUAGAGCACUGUUUCGGCUAGGGGGCCAUCCCGGCUUACCAACCCGAUGCAAACUGCGAAUACCGGAGAAUGUUAUCACGGGAGACACACGGCGGGUGCUAACGUCCGUCGUGAAGAGGGAAACAACCCAGACCGCCAGCUAAGGUCCCAAAGUCAUGGUUAAGUGGGAAACGAUGUGGGAAGGCCCAGACAGCCA